CUGAGAUAUUUUUUGCGCAAGGCCAGCAGCUCCUGCAGGUACUGCAGGCAGUCCUGGGUGCGCGAAUACAUCCACGCCCGGUCCUCCUCCUGCCGCAGGUAGUACAGGCUGGUGUCCAUGCUACUGGUGCUUUUGUACUUCUUUAAGGACUCGCUGAAUUUCUCCCCGUGGUCCCCGACCACAUACAUGGAACUGCUUCGAAUCAGCUUCACUGCGGGGCUGGCUCCUUCGUAGAAGGGGCUCUCGGCCGCCGUCUUUCUCUGUGGGCUGGAGUUAAAGAUGGAGUGGAUCUUUCUGAACAUAGUGCUCGAUUUCUUUCUGUGGGUACCUUCCAGCUGCCUGUGCUGCCGCCACUUGAUCUAGAUGCGGGGAGAGAAGCCGACAUCCAGGCCUCGCACCAUCUGCCUUCCAGGAGGCCUCUGAUCUCUAGGAUCCCAGGGAGCACCGGCUUGAUCAGCUUCCUUGGAAGAGAAGCAUUAUUUCCAUUAUCAUCUUUAGUGGUCAUCAAUUCACAGAUGAAGAAGGGGCGCGCUGGAGAGGUUAUGAGACUUGUCUGUGGUCUCAAUCAGGCGAGUGCAGAACCAGUCCUCAGACCCAAUUGUCCAGCUUCCAGCCCAUUAUGCUGGUCCCAAUGCCCCCUCACUGCAAUGAACUCAUAAAGUCACCGAGUUCCCAGGUAUCCAGGGGAAGUCUCUCUCCAAACCACUUCCCUACCUUGACUCAUGCAUAAUAUCAAAGCACCCGGGAUGGGUAAGUGCUGACUGAACUUCUUCUCAGAGGUAGCCACAGGCUAUGACUACACAGCCUUUCUCAGUAGCUUGUGCCUGUGGGUUUACAAUUACGCUUAUUCUACAUGGAUUUAGAGAGUUUAAAUCAAUAAAAAUGAAGUCUACCUCCAUAUCCAGAAUGCCACAAGCGACCUAACCUCUUGAUCACAAAGGGAAUAAAACUGUCUUCUACAUUCUCCUUUCUUCACUCCUACCUCGUGCUGGAUUCUUCCCAAGGGUCAGACCUAGAAAGAAAAUUGAGAUAAAAUUCUACUGACAUCAACCUGCAGAACAUUUCGUGAACACGAAAUGGACAGGACAUUAAGCAGCAGCCAUGACCCAGCAGCUGACUGCUGUCAGUCACCUCCGACGCCAGUCCUGUCCUGAAGCCGCCUCCCUCCUGGAGCUCCUACUGAGUUGAGUGAGGGGAAAGAAUGCUUUCUCCCUACAAAAUACUCGUCACCUCUGCUGGUGGAGGAAAUUCAUCCAGAAUAGUGACUGCCUUUAACGUAUCUUACUUAGAUUUUCUCACAGCCUCAGCUAUAAGAAACGGGUGUGAAAUCACCUUGUGGUUUUCCAAAGUGUAUUUUGUGUGUGUGUGUGUGUGUGUGUGUGUACGUGUGUUUGUGUUUCAAGUAGAGACAGGGUCUUGCUAUGUUGCCCAGGCUGGUCUUGAACUCCUGGCCUCAGCAAUCCUCCUGCCUCGGCCUCCAAAAGUGCCUGGAUUACAGGAGUGAGCAACCAUACCUAGCCACAAAGUGUAUCACAAAGAAACUACAAGUGCCCAUCAAACCCCAAAUCAGUCCCCCCAGGCUUGACUCUUUUUACACAUUGUGGAAUGCGGACAAACAUCUAAGCAGGGAGAGAGAAGGGCCUGCAUCCUCUCCCCCAGCCUAGCCCCUCCACAUCAGCCCCACUGCCUAUGUGCUUCUCACUGGGCUCAGACCAGAUUUCCUCUUCCUGGUGGUGUCAGAGCCUUGAGGCUUGGCCAGAGAAUCUGCAUAAAGUGACUUGUGUAACAAAACUUGCUUUAUUCCAGAAUUUCUCAAAUGUAAAGUGCAGAACCCCAGAGUGAUGGCUGAGCAGUCCAGAGGAUUUGCCAUGUAGCAGUGCUGGGCUGGGGCAGCCACAGGCAGCAGGUGUAGAAGAGCUGACUGAGCCUCUGCCUGCUCCUAGAUGAGCCUGGUCUUGUGGUGUUGCUCAUGACUGGAAGGGCAGGCCAGGAUGAGAAUGAGAGUAUGGGCCUUACUCAGAGUUUGAAUCACAGGUCAACUACCUACCAGCUUAAGAAAGUUAUUUAAACCUCUGAACUCUGGAUCUCUCACCUCCAAAACUAGAUACCACCUAUUUCAUAGGGCUGGUGUAAUGAUUAAAUGAGAUACUAUAUCCUUUGCCCUACAUCUUCUCAUUCCUCCCUGCACCCCCACUCUGCCUCUGGUAAAUACCAUUUUAUUCUCUAUCUCUGUGUAUUUGACUUUUUUUUCUCUUUUUUAAGAUUCCACAUAUAGUGAGAUCGUACAGAAUUUUUAUUUCUGGGUCUGGCUUAUUUCACUUAUCAUAAUGUCCUCCAGGUUCACUUGUGGUGAGUGGCAGAAUCUUCUUUUUUAAAGCUAAAUAAUAUUCUACUACAGAUAGAUGAUAGAUAGAUAGAUAGAUAGAUAGAUAGAUAGAGAUAGACAGACAGACAGACAGACAGACAGACAGACAGACAGACAGACAGCUUCUUGAUCCAUUCAUCCAUCAGUGAACACUUUGGUUGUUUCCGUAUCUUGGCUAUUGUGAGUAAUGCUGCAAUGUGCAGAUAUGUAGGAUGAACAAGUCUAGGACUCUAACGUACAACAUGAGGAGUACAUCAAAUAAUAAUGUGUUGUAUUUGAGAUUUCUGCCAAAAGAAUAGGUUUUAGGUGUUCUUGUCAAAAAAGGAGGGAGAUGGAUAACCAUGUGGGAUGACAGAUAUGUUCAUUUGCUUCACUGUAGUAACCAUAUCACUUUGUAUAUCAAAAGAUCAUGUCAUAUACCUUAAAUAAAUACAAUUAAAAAACAACAAAAAUAAAUGAGAUAAUAGAGAGCACUUAAUAUGCAUAUUUGCUCAAUCAUAGUAAUUAUUACUUAUAGGAAUAUAAAAAUAUGAUUACUACUACUUCUACUUCACAGUUCCCAGCAUAUAGUUGCCAAGCUAUUAUUCCAGGUAAAUAUUUGGAAUCCAAUUAUAAUUCAAGGGGCCUUUCAUCCUGCAAUAUUUGUAGAGAUCACAGGCUCAAAUGGGCCAUCCUUAAUAAUAUUCAGCUAGAAACUGCUAGUUUUACCCACUAUCCUGAAGAGUGCUAAGUUUCCCUAAGAUGUUCAUUGGUGCCCCCUAUCGUGACUAGCACACCUGCUUACGGGGCAUUUGACCAGGCACCCUGUCCCUUUCAGGCAUGGAUUCAGGUGAGCACCCCAUCAUUUUCCUCCCUACAGUUGGGGACGUUGCCUCGUAUCAUGGUGUAACCGGGGAUAGUCUGUGGCACACACCUCUCAAGGUCAUGGUUCCUUUAAUCCCACCAGCCUGCAACUGUACUUCAUCUAGAGUCCCAAAUCAAAGAAAACAAUCAGCACCUUGGUCCCUAAUUGCACAUCUAGAAAUCCCCUCGACCACUCCCCUGACAGGAAGGUGACUCUGAGUCAGUCCUUCCAAGAGGCAGGGAGGUGGGGGUGAUGGGGAACGAAGGAAGAGCACAGAAGAAGAAGGGGACGCUGAGAAAAGGAAGAGAUCAAAUAAAUGUGUUGAAUAUUGAAUGAAGGGUAAGAUUACAAAGUUCGACAACGUGUAUCCCAUGUCACGAAGUCCAAGUCCAUUUGCACAGUGUAUUGGAACAUUUAGCUUUCUGGUUGCACUAUGAAUUCUGAGGAAAGAAUUUUCCCUGGAGACCAGCUUCCCUGGCUCAGACAGCAAGGUCCUGUGCUUUAGAUCUUUGACAGAUGAAGCACAGUUCCCUGGGGAAAGAGCAGCUCCAAAUCUCCCUGGGCUCGGCCCUCCACAUAUGAAGACCAAAAGCAGAAUAACACAUCUCUACACCAUCCCUUCUUACUUUAACAUGCUUGGAAACCUCUAAUAAAAAAAAAAAAAGUCCUUGUAAGCAAACAUUAGAUCCUCUGAGGUUUACAAGACUGAAAAUGUACUGGUGCUUGAGUACACAAAGGGCUGGUGGCGGGACUAUAUCCUCCUUUAGAAGGCGUGGCCCUAAUUUGGGAGCAUCGUGUACAUUGCUGCCCAUCAGGCAGAAGGGGCACGUCUGACAAUGGGAGGUAGGGUAACCCAGCUAAGCCAAGCUUGGAGAUGAGUAAUGAGAGGCUGGGUUGGAGAAAGUUGGAAGGGAAGGGUGAAGGUGGCAACAGGCAGUUAAAGGAGGGUCUUAAAGGCCAGUUCAACAACUUUGGAUUUAAUUCUACAAGGUGCCUGUUAUCAGACCUCUGGGAGCCCAUAAGACAUUUUCACUCAAUUUAGAAAAAGUGCUCUCUCCAGGUGAAGGCCAGGUAAGCAGUCCCCACUGGCUCCCUUGGCAGGUGCCUGGGUACAGUGUACAACCCACACAACAGUAUAUGGUGACCCUGGCUGGUUAAAAACUUAGAACAGAAGAUGAUGUGGCAAAUGGAAUUGUGAGAAAAUUCCAUUUAGGAAACUUAAGUAGGAGCUCCAUGUGAUUCAAGAAAGGCUAAUUAUUUGUUUAUCUAUUACUAUGUACAAACCAUUCCAAGACUUCCCUGGCUUAAAAUAAUGAUCAUUAUAUUUGCUCACAAAUCUGCAAUUUAGCUGGGCUUCUGUUGGAUGUGCCAGUGGCACUUAUGUGGCUGCAUUCAGUGGUGGGUUGUCUGGGUCUAGGCACAAAUGGGGAGCCUCUCCCUCUCCACAUGGUCUCUCCAGUGAGGUGGCCGGAAUACUUAAAUGGAUGCUCAGGGCAUCCAACAGUUCAAAGGUGGACACGGCCAAGCCUUCAGGCUGAAACUAGGAACUAGCACCCUGGUUUUCCUGCCCAAUUCUAUUGAUUUAGUCAAAUCACAGGACCAACUCAGAUUAAGGGGAGGGGACUACACAAGGGUGUGAGUACUAGAAGAAUGGCUCAUUGGGGCCACAGGUAUAGUAGACUGCCACAUUUCCUUAGGAAGCUAAGAUGGCCAUCCAGGUGGAAGUAAGGAGGACGUCAUUGGACAGCAGCCAGUGAACAGAUUUUUCUAAGAAUAAGCUCCAAAUUAUUUGUAGUCAGCUUUGAGAAUACUAUAUAUCCUAGUCAGUUUAUUUUUCUAAAUGUAUUCAGCAAAGACUAAUAGCAAAAUAGAUUAUAGUGCCCAAAAUUGAGUUUCAUAAAUCAUUGUAGGAAUAGAUCUCAUUUUCCAAAAAUGUAAAAGGAAAGUGAAUAAUUAGGAGUGGAUUAUAUAAUACCUUGGAAAGACAAAUUCAGGGACUGAGCCUUAUCUUUAAUCAUUUUAAAGUGAUAUACUGCAGCAUUUUAUUGGAACUUUUAGAAAAAAGAUAUAGUCUUCUCAUGAAUGCUUAUGCUUCCUUAUCAAACGUUUACAUGACAAUCAACAGAAAAAUUGAGUGUGAAUUUCCAAACCCAAGGUAGAAGGCUGAGACUGAUGGUACUUUUGGGGUUGGAGUAAAUAAAAUAUCUGCGGUCCAGUAUUUUUUUCACAUUCUCCUGCAC
rnacentral:lncRNA from 10 species